rnacentral:rRNA from 1 species
GAUGAACGCUGGCGGCGUGCCUAAUACAUGCAAGUCGAACGCAUAGCGAAAGGUGCUUGCACCUUUCAAGUGAGUGGCGAACGGGUGAGUAACACGUGGACAACCUGCCUCAAGGCUGGGGAUAACAUUUGGAAACAGAUGCUAAUACCGAAUAAAACUUAGUGUCGCAUGACACAAAGUUAAAAGGCGCUUCGGCGUCACCUAGAGAUGGAUCCGCGGUGCAUUAGUUAGUUGGUGGGGUAAAGGCCUACCAAGACAAUGAUGCAUAGCCGAGUUGAGAGACUGAUCGGCCACAUUGGGACUGAGACACGGCCCAAACUCCUACGGGAGGCUGCAGUAGGGAAUCUUCCACAAUGGGCGAAAGCCUGAUGGAGCAACGCCGCGUGUGAUGAAGGCUUUCGGGUCGUAAAGCACUGUUGUAUGGGAAGAACAGCUAGAAUAGGAAAUGAUUUUAGUUUGACGGUACCAUACCAGAAAGGGACGGCUAAAUACGUG